rnacentral:rRNA from 1 species
GACAUCUGACCUCAAAUCAGGUAGGACUACCCGCUGAACUUAAGCAUAUCAUAACCGG